AGGACAGGAAUGUUGUAUAGAUACUGACAGGAAAGUGACACUGCCUGGGGAGCUUGGUGACUCACUCUGUAUCAUUCAAAUAUAUGAUGUGAAGAAAUGCAGCAUGACAUGAUUCAGAGUGAAGCCACUGAAACAGUGUUUUUGGCCAGAAUUGUUGGAUGAAUGGCUGAAGAGGGAACAUCUGUACUUACUCAGAGACCUGCACUUCUCUGGAUGACAGAAUCCUGUUGCUCAGCUCAUGAAGCCAUGGCAGCACCACGGCCGGCACUCUCCCCACCAGGCAGCUCAGCGUGAACGAGGCUUGUCAUCACCUUCACUGUGAGACAGCUGUGACUAAACAGCUGUCUCACAGUGGACGGCAGAAGCAGCUGCAGAGCCAGAAGAGAGUGAGCCACAGGUGAGUCCACACUGCACCAGCUGUCCUUAA
rnacentral:lncRNA from 1 species